rnacentral:rRNA from 1 species
GACGGUACCUACAAAGGAAGCCCCGGCUAACUAUGUGCCACCAGCCGCGGUAAUACAUAGGGUGCAAGCGUUGUCCGGAAUUAUUGGGCGUAAAGAGCUCGUAGGUCGUUUGUUACGUCGGAUGUGAAAACCUGAGGCUCAACCUCACGCCUGCAUUCGAUACGGGCAAACUACAGUUUGGUAGGGGAGACUGGAAUUCCUGGUGUAGCGGUGGAAUGCGCAGAUAUCAAGAGGAACACCAAUGGCGAACGCUGGUCUCUGGGCCAAUACUGACACUGAGGAGCGAAGGUCUGGGGAGCGAACAGGAUUAGAUGCCCUGGUAGUCCAUACCGUAAACGGUGGGCACUAGUUGUGGGAACCUUCCACGGUUUCUGCGACGCAACUAACGCAUUAACUGCCCCGCCUGGGGAGUACGAUCGCAAGAUUAAAACUC